rnacentral:lncRNA from 1 species
AUAUAAGGAGCGUGGGCCAGGCCUGAGUAUUCAGCGAUGGCAUUUGCAUGGUGGCCCUGUCUCAUCUUGGCUCUGCUCUCCAGCUUGGCAGCCUCUGGCUUCCCGAGAAGCCCCUUUCGGCUGCUUGGGAAACGGAGCCUCCCGGAAGGGGUAAGAACUUUCACCAGGGGGUGGGACCGAGUGGGGCAGGGCAGGAUGGAGCUGGUUCCCCAACUGCUGAAGGUGUAGGCUAUAACAGCUGACUCCUCACAGCUGGCAAACAGCUUACGGCCCUCUGCCCUGGCAGCCUCCAACAGCGCAGGACUCCUGGGAAAGAGCACCACAGAGUGACGACCCCUCCAACCUCGCAGGAUGUAGCCCAAGAGGGCCCCUCACAGGCAUCCCUUCCUUCCGCAGACACUUCCUUAGCACUUGCUGGUACCUGGCUCUGUGAAGCGGUCCCUGCCACACCCUCACGAAGCAUCUUUAUAUCCCUAGGGGGAGGGGGCUGGAACACCUCCCUAGAGCCUCUCAAAAUUCAACACCCCUAUUGGAAAGAGGGUGUUUGGAGACUUCCCUUGGCACAGGA